rnacentral:lncRNA from 1 species
AGCUGGGGACAAGGAGGAAAGAAACAAAUGAAGGUAGUGCUUUAGAAAGGCUUUACAAAGGCUUCAGUUUGCUUACUCAAUCCUAGAAGGUAAAACUGGGACUUGGUUCAUGGAGGAAAUGAGGCAACUGGAGUCACCGAGUAUUUCCUUAUAAAUUAAUAACUACUUCCCUUGUGUCCCCUAAUCUUCCUAUCCCAUGACCUUGAAAUCCUGAACAAUUAGAAGUGGCACUAUGAGUAAAAGGAAAUUUGUAAGGUAGAGGUAAUUGAGUUUAGGUUUCCAUGUUAUAAUUAUUUUCAGCAGUUCCUGAGGCCUGCUUUUAAAAUGCCUUAUGCUUUUGAUUCUAAGACAAAAAAAGUCCUAUGGGCAAAUCUCC